CGCUGACGAAGCUCAGAAUUCACUAAGUGACCGGAUGAUAUUCUUUCUACCCUAGGAACAAGCUCAUCAGGAAAAUUUUCGUACGAUCCGAAAGCAGAUUUUAAAAUACGAAUAUCUAAAGGAGAGAGAUAGAUGUGGGAGUGAGCGAAAGGUUGAUAGAAUAGAUAGGCAUCUGCGAUUUCAGAUCCGCUAACAUCAUUCAAAUCGUCAACUUCGGAAAGCUGUUUGAGGCUAUUACUUUGAAG